UACGUAGGGUGCAAGCGUUAAUCGGAAUUACUGGGCGUAAAGCGUGCGCAGGCGGUUCGUUGUGUCGGUGGUGAAAUCCCCGGGCUUAACCUGGGAAUGGCCGUGGAAACUGGCGAACUGGAGUGCGGCAGAGGGGGGUGGAAUUCCGCGUGUAGCAGUGAAAUGCGUAGAGAUGCGGAGGAACACCGAUGGCGAAGGCAGCCCCCUGGGCUAGCACUGACGCUCAGGCACGAAAGCGUGGGGAGCAAACAGG
rnacentral:rRNA from 1 species